AGUGAACGCUGGCGGUAGGCCUAACACAUGCAAGUCGAACGGCAGCACAGUAAGAGCUUGCUCUUACGGGUGGCGAGUGGCGGACGGGUGAGGAAUACAUCGGAAUCUACUUUUUCGUGGGGGAUAACGUAGGGAAACUUACGCUAAUACCGCAUACGACCUACGGGUGAAAGCAUGGGAUCUUCGGACCUUGCGCGAUUGAAUGAGCCGAUGGCGGAUUAGCUAGUUGGCGGGGUAAAGGCCCACCAAGGCGACGAUCCGUAGCUGGUCUGAGAGGAUGAUCAGCCACACUGGAACUGAGACACGGUCCAGACUCCUACGGGAGGCAGCAGUGGGGAAUAUUGGACAAUGGGCGCAAGCCUGAUCCAGCCAUACCGCGUGGGUGAAGAAGGCCUUCGGGUUGUAAAGCCCUUUUGUUGGGGAAGAAAAGCAGCAGGUUAAUACCCCGCUGUUCUGACGGUACCCAAAGAAUAAGCACCGGCUAACUUCGUG
rnacentral:rRNA from 1 species